rnacentral:tRNA from 1 species
CCUUCGAUAGCUCAGUUAGUAGAGCGGAGGGACUGUAGAUCCUUAGGUCGCUGGUUCAACUCCGGCUCGAAGGA